UUAUCUGGAAACUGAUUCAGAAAGUUUGGAGUUAUCCCUAGAAUUGUGAAUUACACAAUGAUAAGGCAAAAUUAAUGAGAUAUACAACCUCUAACACUGAGAUAUUUCGAGUGAAGCACAGCUUUUGAUAGUGGACUCACAUAGAAACAGUGGUUCAUGUCUGAAGCCAUUACAUAGGUGUAGGGCUCUCUAGUUUUCAGAAAACCAUCAGGUUACAGAACACCUGGAAUAAAAAGAAGUAUUUAUUUGUUAGUUGCCCUGAAAAAAAAUUUUUCUUUAAUACUAAGAGCAUUUAAUUAUCUACAGGUGAAGAAUUUACAAAAUUUUGGUAUAUCAAUGUGGAUUAUACAGACGAAGUGGAAAAAAGAAAUGUAUCAGAUUUUUGACAAGGUUUUAAUUUUCUUCAGGAAUCUGGACUUAAAAAUUGGCCCUUAUUCAGAGAAGAAAAAACUGUUUCAGAGAACUAGUGACAAUUUAAGAAUGAUAAAGAGCACUUGGCUGGAUAACUGAAAAAAUAUUCUAACAUUUUCCCUAGCAAAUAG
rnacentral:lncRNA from 1 species